UACGAAGGGGGCUAGCGUUGCUCGGAAUCACUGGGCGUAAAGGGUGCGUAGGCGGGUUUUUAAGGCAGGGGUGAAAUCCUGGAGCUCAACUCCAGAACUGCCUUUGAUACUGAGGAUCUUGAGUACGGGAGAGGUGAGUGGAACUGCGAGUGUAGAGGUGAAAUUCGUAGAUAUUCGCAAGAACACCAGUGGCGAAGGCGGCUCACUGGCCCGUUACUGACGCUGAGGCACGAAAGCGUGGGGAGCAAACAGG
rnacentral:rRNA from 1 species